rnacentral:rRNA from 1 species
UACAGAGGGGGCAAGCGUUGUCCGGAUUUAUUGGGCGUAAAGCGCGUGUAGGCGGCCAGGUAGGUCCGCUGUGAAAACCCGAGGCUCAACCUCGGGACGUCGGCGGAAACCAUUUGGCUAGAGUCCGGAAGAGGAGAGUGGAAUUCCCGGUGUAGCGGUGAAAUGCGCAGAUAUCGGGAAGAACACCCGUGGCGAAGGCGGCUCUCUGGGACGGUACUGACGCUGAGACGCGAAAGCGUGGGGAGCGAACAGG